rnacentral:rRNA from 1 species
CGGAGACUUGAAAACAGGUGCUGCAUGGCUGUCGUCAGCUCGUGUCGUGAGAUGUUGGGUUAAGUCCCGCAACGAGCGCAACCCUUGCCGUUAGUUGCCAUCAGGUAAUGCUGGGCACUCUAACGGGACUGCCGGUGUCAAACCGGAGGAAGGUGGGGAUGACGUCAAGUCCUCAUGGCCUUUAUGUCUGGGGCUACACACGUGCUACAAUGGCAGGUACAAACCGCUGCGAACUCGCAAGGGGAAGCAAAUCGGAAAAAACCUGUCUCAGUUCGGAUCGGAGUCUGCAACUCGACUCCGUGAAGUUGGAAUCGCUAGUAAUCGUGGAUCAGCAUGCCACGGUGAAUACGUUCCCGGGCCUUGUACACACCGCCCGUCACACCAUGGGAGUUGAUUGCUCCAGAAGUCGGUGAGCCAACUCGCAAGAGAGGCAGCCGCCCAAGGAGUGGUUGGUAACUGGGGUGAAGUCGUAACAAGGUAGCCGUAGGGGAACCUGCGGCUGGAUCACCUCCUUUCUAAGGAG